UGGGAAACGGGUUAAUAUUCCCGUACUUCUUACAAUUGCGAUGGGGGGACGGAGAAGGCUAGGUGGGCCUGGCGACGGUUGUCCAGGUUCAAGUGCGUAGGCUUGAGAGUUAGGUAAAUCCGGCUCUCUUUAAGGCUGAGACACGACGUCGAGCACCUACGGGUGUGAAGUCAUUGAUGCCAUGCUUCCAGGAAAAGCCUCUAAGCUUCAGAUUGUAAGGAAUCGUACCCCAAACCGACACAGGUGGUCGGGUAGAG
rnacentral:rRNA from 1 species